GAGUUUUAUUAUACCUACCUGUUGAUACGAUAUUUUAGGGAUUGCAUUUUCUAUCAUAAUUUACUUGACAGAGGGUUGCUGCUCACAAGGAAGCUAUUGAACCAAGAGUUCCAAAUUGUGAAGUUUAAAUAACUCCUUCAUAUAUUUUACAGACGCCAUCACGAGUUGGUCGACUGUUAUGGAAUAUCUGUUUCACCGAUGAGGCUGAUGAUGGAUAUGUCCAUAUUGUCGUAACUACAAUCCCGUCAUGUAUUCCCCGAAUGUGACGUGCCAAAUAAGACUUAUCAACGGGUUUGUACUUACAUGUGCCACAUAAAGAAAUUGAUCUGCUUACCCUUCCUGAGCAACCCUGUUAUUUCGAUAUAGGAAGAUGUGGUAUUAGUGCUGAUGAGACAACUCUCAAUCCAAGUCACAAUUUAUAAAAGUAAGCCAUUAUAGGUCAAGAUACGGUCUUCAGCACGGAGCCCUGGCUCACACCGAAUAGGAAGCUAUAUAUCCCCCAACAAUUUACUAGUGUUAAACCAUUCAAACGUGAAAACUAACGGUAUAAUCUAUGAUAUGGUUCAUGUUGCUCAGUCUUUCUACGUUAUGUUUAGUGUACUGUUGUUUUAUUUUUUGCGUUUUUUUUUCUUCUUUCUUUUUGCCAUGGCGUUGUUAGAUUAUUUCCGACUAAUGGCUUUCAAUGUCCAUUUGGAAUCUUUCAUCUCUCUCUCAUAGUCAAAUAUUGGCUGUUUUAUUUUUAUAAGGUAUCAGACAACAUUGUCAUGCGCAGUUUAAACAUCAUAACUUCGAGCACUUACCAUAGAAAAUAUUAUCGGAACAUGGAAAACAAGCAAUAAAAUGUUGAUUUUUUUCUUUUCAAAAUAUAUGUUAAGCGAAUUUUUGUUAACCCCAACAAAUACAACAUACAAGAUUCUUAAACCAAGGUAUGAUUGUACAUCACUAAGUCCUUUAAACCAAGGUAUGAUUGUACAUCACUAAGUCCUUUAAACCAAGGUAUGAUUGUACAUCACUAAGUCCUUUAAACCAAGGUAUGAUUGUACAUCACUAAGUCCUUUAAACAUAUGGUAUCACUAAGUCUUUAAACCAGUAUGAUUGUACAUCACUAAGUCCUUUAAACCAAGGUAUGAUUGUACAUCACUAAGUCCUUUAAACCAAGGUAUGAUUGUACAUCACUAAGUCCUUUAAACCAAGGUAUGACUGUACAUCACUAAGUCCUUUAAACCAAGGUAUUGUACAUCGCUAAGUCCUUUAAACCAGGUAUGAUUGUACAUCGCUAAGUCCUUUAAACCGAGGUAUGAUUGUACAUCGCCUAAGUCCUUUAAACCAGGUAUGAUUGUACAUCGCUAAGUCCUUUUAUGAUUGUACAUCGCUAAGGUCCUUUAAAACCAAGGUAUGAUUGUACAUCGCUAAGUCUUUAAACCAGGUAUGAUUGUACAUCGCUAAGUCCUUUAAACCAAGGUAUGAUUGUACAUCGCUAAGUCCUUUAAACCAAGGUAUGAUUGUACAUCGCUAAGUCCUUUAAACCAAGGUAUGAUUGUACAUCACUAAGUCCUUUAAACCAAGGUAUGAUUGUACAUCACUAAGUCCUUUAAACCAAGGUAUGAUUGUACAUCACUAAGUCCUAGGUAUGAUGUACAUCUAAUCUUUAAACCAAGGUAUGAUUGUACAUCACUAAGUCUUUAAACCAAAGAGAACGAUCAGAAGGACAAAUGGAC
rnacentral:lncRNA from 1 species